ACCUGGCUGGCUCAGUCAGAAGAGCACAUGACUCUUGAUCUUAGGGUUGUGAGUUCAAGCCUCAUUUUGGGUA
rnacentral:tRNA from 1 species